CCUGCCCGGAGCCUUGUGACAGGACCUGCUGCUGGAGUCUAUGGGAAAGAAUGAGGCACAAGUCACAGCGACCUUGGUUUGGUGAUUGGAACUAGGUGCUGGAGCAACCCAGGCAUCCAGAACCGGGAGAAAGUGGGGAACCAAGACUCCGGAAGGAACUCCCACCCAUCCGCCCAGGAUACCAGAACUCGGCGGGCUGAUAACCGAAGACAGAGUGCUCUCCCAACUCCUGCGGAAUCCAAGUCGCCAGGCCCUUGGGUAAGGGUGCCCGGGGUGCUGCCGCCCACCUCCUCCCGAGGGACAUGUGGAGCCUUGAGUACACCCUGCUGAACAAGUUAGAAGACAAUACAUCCUUACCUCUAGGUUCCAGUCUCUUGUUUUGUCUUGUCUUUCACUUUUCCUAAGUAAA